UGGUCGGUUCCAGAAGCUGGAGGAAUGAUUCGGUUUCCGAACACCGUAUUUUCUCGGGGUGUAAUUGCACGCCAAUGUUUUCACGUAGGAGUAGGUACCUGAAAGAGAAUUGUUUUUUUUUUCAUUACUAGUCGUAUGAUUCUAGAAUAAAUUUAUUUCUCACCUCAGCCAUUGCCAGGCAAUGGUUGAUCACAGCGGAAGCUAUUUUUUUUUUAAAACGAACACAAACACAUACAGGAUCUCAAUGAAACUUAAUGUUUCCUCGAAGAGAUUCCUUUCACUUAACUCUAAGCGUACAUCUUUCGAGGAUAUGAUGGCUAGCAUCUUACAAAUGCUAAAACCACCAACCCACAGAAAGUGUACUAUGUAUGCCGUGACCGGGAUUUGAUCUCAUGACCGUUGGCUUAGAAGACUGGAAGGCUAUCCUCUACGCCACGGGCUGCGGCUUCCUCCAGCCAAGAGAAUGCUUUGACUGACAAUUCAUCUGCUGGUUCAAACCCGGCCAGAUGAAAUCCAUCAGAAUUCGAGGAUUUGGGCGGUUUCGCUCUUCUGUUCUGUCUUAGUUUUGUUCUUCCAAACAAAAUGGCGUUCUUCACAGUCACUAAACGAAAAUUUGUAAUUGCGCUAAAAGAGCCGAAAUUAACUCAUGUUCGAUAUGAUUAAUAUUUUAAUUCUACCAUAAAGUACAUAUAGUAACAAUCAUAAUCUCAAAGAAAAUAUUCAUUUUUAUAUCAUGCGUCUGAUAUUUUCGAGCACUAUGAAGUAUUUUGAAAUAACGAUAUACUCCACGGUGACUUUAAAAACUAUGGUGGUUUCAAAAUUUAAUGUGUUUGAUAAAGAUUUAGAUAUUACAAUGAAGUGUUCUGGCAUCCCUGACGUCGCUGCAUCUGAACAGACCUAACGGCCACGCUACGAACUGUCAAACCAGAAAACGGUUAGAAGUGAAAAUUUGCGACGAACCAAGAAAGACAAGUGACGCUCUGCGUAUAUUUUAUAAAUUAACGAUAGUUUUAGUUGUUAAAGUUGUUUGUGCCAUUCGUGAGUACCUUUUUAAAUUGUUGUGAACCUUUGACUAAAUCUAACUUUUUGUAAUAUUUAGCGCACAUCGGUAAAAACCCGAUCUAAGGCUGAUACCACGCACAGUCGAGCAUUCCUUUCAAAAGGGCCGAUAUAGGUUAGAUUUUCUUUUAUUGGUAUCAGAAUUAUUUGUAAUAAUGCGCAUUUUCUCGAACUCUAGGCCAGAAAUCUAUGCUCUCGAUUAUAACUUGGCAUCAAAACACGGAAACUCCUCUUGUACUAAAGGAGACAAAUGUAAGAAACAAAAAAUCCUAUGUAAAACUAUUUGCCCUAAUAAACUCAUUGUUUUUUAGCUUUGAGCUGCUCCUGCUCCUGCUCCAACUAGAGCUGCUGCGAGAACCUUUAGUGAAUUAUAUUCCAACAUCCUCAAAGAUUUUCGAAAACCCUAAAGAUUUCGAGAUGGUCAAUUCGGAAGAGGAAAUUGAUUGCCAAGAUGGAUUCGACUGUGGUGGAUGCAACAGACCUAAUUCGGUGGAACGGAGAAUGGUGUCGUGCGAUAAUUGUUUAGGCUGGUGGCAUCUGAGUUGUGCGAAUCAAUCUCCCGGCGUAAAGGAUCGCCCAUGGAGAUGCACUAAAUGCACACCACCUUCUGCAGACCCGUCAGAGUCCGUAAACACCGCCGAUUUCAGCACACCCAUCGUGCGAUCAAAGGCUCCUCACUCCAGUUCAACGAGAAUAGGAAGGGCUGAAGUUGAGAACGGAGCUAGGAAGAAAUGUGCGGAAUCCAACAAAGAUUCGUCCGUGAGAAGUGCCGGCAAAUCUGUGAGAUCUACUACAUCCAGCGCCCGCAUCCGGACCGAACUUGAGUUGGCCAAAUUGGUAGCAGAAAGAGAAAUUAAAAGUCGCCGUAUGAGAGAGGAAAUGCGUUUCCUAGAAAAGGAACGGGCUAUCCGUCUAGAAGAGCUUGCUUCUGAGGAAUCCUUCUUAAAGAAGAAGCACCAGCUGGAAGAGAAGCUAGUAGAGGACUCGGGAUCGGAAAGUGUUUCCGAAUCAGCGCCGAGUGGAAGUCAAAAGGCUGAGGAAUGGUUGCGCAAUCAGCUGGAGGAAAACAAUAACGAUCCGGAAGAGGUUUUUGAUGUUUCGAACGCCGAAGCUCGAAGCGGAAAGAUUUUGCACGCCAUGGUGGAACGAGGUGAAGAGCAUCACGCUAACUCUCGGAUAGUCGAACUGAGUACAUCGAAAUCAGUUCAUUCCGAACCUAGAAGUCACUCGGCACGAAUCCGUGUGCCAAUUAUGAACCUGAUUCCUGAAGUACCACCUCCAAAGCAACCCAUAAAUCCUUUCCCACAACCGGUAGCGUUUGCCAACCUGAAUAUUGGUCCGUCUGCAGAACAAGUGUUGGCUCGCCAAGUCUGGCCCAGAAAACUACCUGUGUUUGCCGGAGAGCCUGAGGAGUGGCCAAUAUUUUUCCAUAGUUACGAAACGUCCAAUGCUGCCUGCGGUUUCUCAGACGUUGAGAAUCUUGUCCGUCUUAGAGAAAGCCUGCGAGGGGCGGCUCGAGAAGCAGUGAGAACAAAAUUGACAUUUCCUGACAGCGUGCCGAAGAUAAUGGAAACACUGAAACGUUUUUAUGGACGGCCCGAAAUUCUUGUAAGGAACAUGCUGGCUAAAGUGCGCAAACUCGAAUCGCCAAAAUCUGAGCGUCUAGAUAGCCUUAUUAAGUUUGCCACAGCUGUACAGCACCUUUGUGACCAGCUAGAGGCUGCAGGUCUACGAGCUCAUUUAUCGAAUCCCGAUUUGCUCAGCGAAUUGGUUGAGAAGCUCCCUGCUCAUCAUCAGCUUGCUUGGGUGAGAUAUAAACGCUCCUUCCCCGAGCCUACGCUGAAGGAAUUUGGCCAGUAUAUGGAGGAAUUGGCCGAGGACGCCUGUGAGGUUACUACGCUUGUACCGCCGAAACCUGAGGCAGCGAAGUAUGCAAAACCGUCGCAGAAGAAAGAGGGACAUUUCCAUGCUCACAUUAACAGUAAUGCAAACCAGGAAGAAUAUAGACAACGUAAGCCAUGUCCAAUCUGUGGUGGCAUAGAUCACCGGGUUCGGAACUGCUCGAAGUUCCAAGAACUAAAUCUCGAUUCAAGAAAGCGUGCAGUACGCCAGUGGAAUUUGUGCGAAAUGUGCCUGAAUGAGCACGGUAAUUGGAAGUGUAAAUCAAGAAUCCGAUGUAACAUCGAAGGCUGUAGAGUUCAGCACCAUCCGUUGCUCCAUGUUCCAGCGCAAGCCAAAAAGGGAGAAGCAACAGUCGUUAAAUCUGUUUGUAAUUCCCACAACGAAUUCAGAAAAGCUUUUUUCUUUCGAAUAUUUCCACUUACCCUGCACAACGGAAAUCGCACUGUCGAUACUUUUGGAUUCUACGAUGAAGGGUCAUCACUGACCAUGAUGGAAUCGUCAUUAGCACGCCGCCUAGGAAUAGAGGGAAAGAGGCAUCCGCUGGAAUUGCAGUGGACUUCCGGUGUAACCCGGAACGAAGAUUCAUCCAAGCUCAUUAAAUGCAUGAUCUCGAAGUUAGGAGAUCCGAAACAACAUUCUUUUACCGCACACACGGUUUCGAAACUUGAGCUACCGAAGCAAACCCUCUGCUACGACGAAUUAGCUAAUCGUUAUGAACAUCUGAAAGAUAUCCCAAUCAGUUCAAUUAACGAUGCUCAGCCUGAAGUGCUUAUUGGGUUAGAUAACAUUGACAUUUUAACCCCAAUCGAAAGUCGGCAAGGUCAACCUGGCGAACCUGUUGCCGUGAGAUCACUGCUCGGAUGGGCCAUCUAUGGGCCUAACGAGGCAGGAGAAAGAAAUGACAAGAACUCGGUCCGAGUUAACUUCCAUCACUGCGACGCAGAUCAAGAGCUUAACGACCUCAUCCGACAACAUUUCGUUCUGGAGGAACCCCAGAACCCGUUUGCGCCGAUUCUUGAAUCUGCCGAAGACAAGCGAAGUAAAACGAUCCUAGAGGAAACCACGGUGUUCCGUGACGGUGCAUACGAAACUGGAUUGCUGUGGAAAGCAGAUGUAGUGUGCUUCCCAGAUAACCGGUACAUGGCUGAGAGGCGUCUGAAAUGUCUAGAGAGCAAGCUGUCAAAAGACCCCGAACUACAGGCUAACGUACACCAACAAAUACGAGACUAUUUGACAAAAGGGUAUGCCCAUAAGGCAACCGAAGAAGAGUUGGCAGAAACUAGUGCUGAGCGCGUCUGGUACCUCCCCCUGAAUGUGGUGUCGCACCCGAAGAAACCGAACAAAAGACGGCUGGUGUGGGACGCGGCUGCCUCAGUGGGUGGAGUUUCCCUCAACAAUCAACUAUUAAAAGGUCCGGAUUUACUGGUCCCCCUGCAUUCAGUGAUAUGCAAGUUCCGAGAGUGGCGCAUCGGAUUUGGUGGCGACGUAAAGGAAAUGUUCCACCAAAUCCGAAUAAGAGCAGCUGACAAAAACUACCAACGAUUCCUGUUUCGAUUCGACGCAACACAACCGCCCGACGUGUAUAUUAUGGACGUCGCGACGUUCGGAGCGACGUGCUCGCCCUGUUCGGCGAUCUACGUGUUGCACAAAAUAGCAGACGAGUGUCGGGAGGAUUUCCCGAAAGCUACGACAGCUAUUAAGGAGAAAACGUAUAUGGACGAUUAUUUCGAUAGUGCCCCCACUUCCGAGGAAGCAGCUGAUCGAGCGAUUCAGGUGAAAGGAGCCCUUGCUCGGGCCGGAUUCACCAUGAGAAAUUGGGUUAGCAACGAUGAAUCGGUGCUACAAGCAGUCGGAGAGAAUUCGGAACAGAAAUCGCUCUCACUUAUCAGUGACAUAGGAGGCGAUAACAUCGAGAGGGUCCUUGGACUGGAGUGGAACCCACGGCAGGAUUGUUUCCAAUUUCCUACCAGCCUACGUGGUGAGCUGGCGCCGUAUGUUUGCGGCGAACGACGACCGACUAAGAGAAUGGCUCUUCGAUGUAUUAUGAGUCUUUUCGACCCAUUGGGUCUUCUGUCCCCGUAUACAAUCCACGGGAAGAUGCUGUUCCAAGAUCUUUGGAGAUGCGGCAUACAAUGGGAUGACGACAUUCCGGAUGAAGCUUUCGAGAAAUGGGUCCGAUGGACAAAGCUUCUCCAAGAAAUCAACAACCUUCAGAUCCCCAGGUGCUACUGUGGUGGAGAUCAUGCUGGAGGGUACGAAACAUUGCAGCUACAUGUGUUCACCGAUGCCAGUGAACUGGGCUACGGAUGCGCGGCGUAUUUCCGUGUCAUCGAGGAUGGAAAAGUGAAAUGCUGCUUGGUGAUGGCGAAGGCUAAGGUGGCCUCCCUCAAGGUGCAAUCGAUUCCCAGAAGAGAGCUUCAAGCCGCUGUGUUGGGUGCUAGGAUGUUGAUAAACGUUUGUUCUAGCCACACGGUGGAAAUCAAGGAGAAAUUUCUUUGGACGGAUUCUACCACCGUCUUGUCCUGGAUUAGAUCUGACCACCGAAGAUUCAAGCAAUAUGUAGCCGUUCGCAUCGGAGAAAUUCUGACCUUAACAGAUUCGGAUCAGUGGCGCUGGGUGCCUUCGAAAGAGAACAUCGCUGACUGUUUGACCAAGUGGAAUAAAGAUACGGAUCCAAAACCGGAUGGUCGUUGGUUUAAUGGCCCAUCAUUCCUGUACGAACCUGCUGAUAGAUGGCCACAACAGAAAUCACCGAAUGAAAGCACCAACGAAGAGUUGAGAACCCACUACCUUUUCCACCACAUUGAUAUUCCCAUUCAGCUAAUUGACAUUGCUAGAAUCUCUAAAUGGACCAUAUUGGUACGCAUACUGGCUACGGUUAUGCGAUUUAUUUCGAAUUGUCGUCGACGAAAGAAAGCAUUGCCCAUCGAGACGGUACCUUCCGUAGAGAAUGUGAAGCGAUACGUAAUGCGAACCAUCCCGAAUAUCGAAACACCGUUGAAGCAAUCCGAAUACCAAUCAGCCGAGAACAUCCUUUGGCGAUUGGCUCAAAGUGAGCACUACCCUGAUGAGGUGAAGGUGCUGAUAUCAAAUCGUGAAAGAGCCCUAGAGGAUUUAAUCAAGAUUGAGAAAACUAGUUGCCUGUAUCAACUCUCCCCGUUUGCUGACGAAUUUGGUGUUAUUAGAGUGGAAGGAAGAACCGUGAAUGCGCAGUACGCGUCCUUCGAUUCCCGAUUUCCAGUAAUAUUGCCCCGAGAGCAUGUAGUUACCCAAAGGCUUUUGGAGCAUUAUCACCGAAUUUUUGGACACGCAAACAGAGAGACAAUUGUCAACGAAGUCCGUCAGCGUUUUCAGAUCGCGAAUCUGAGGUCCGCUGUUAACGAAGUAUCGAGAAGCUGCCAGGUAUGUAAGAUUAAAAAAUGUAAACCACAUCCACCAAGAAUGGCGCCAUUGCCAGAGCAAAGAUUGACACCGUAUACCAGACCCUUUGCGUAUACCGGUGUGGAUUAUCUCGGGCCGUUGGAGGUAACCGUUGGCAGGCGGAAGGAAAAGCGAUAUGUAGCGGUCUUCACAUGCUUGGUAGUCCAUGCCGUUCACCUGGAGCUGGCGUACAGCUUAACGACGGAUUCCUGCAUAAUGGCGAUCAGGAGAUUUGUGCCAAGAAGAGGUCCCCCACGCCAAAUAUUUUCCGACAACGGGACGAACUUUGUCGGUGCCGAUCGCGAGCUUAAACGACAGAUCAAGAGAAUCAACAGCGACUGUUCCGACACAUUCACCAACGCCCGAACAAGCUGGUUAUUCAAUCCGCCCUCCGCUCCCCACAUGGGUGGAGUAUGGGAGCGGAUGGUGCGAAGCGUGAAAGAAUCGAUGAGAGCUCUCGACGACGGAAGGAAACUCAACGACGAGAUUCUGCUGACGGUGUUGGCGGAAACAGAAGCUUUUAUAAACUCUCGUCCACUGACGUACAUGCCUCAAAGUUCGGCCGACUACGAAGCGUUGACACCCAACCACUUUUUGGGUAACUCCACGGGAGAUCAGGACCCUAUGCGUGAUCCAAUCAGUCUCAGCCAAGCACUGCAAAGCAGUUACCUUCGUUCGCAGUAUUUAGCUGAUGCUACAUGGGACAGAUGGCUGAAGGAAUACUUUCCUAAUAUGAACAAGCGGUCCAAGUGGUUCGAAGAUGUGGUGUCGGUUAAACUUGGAGACCUGGUGUAUAUUGCGGAAGGCAGUCGGCGUACCUGGAUCCGAGGAAGGAUCGUGGAGCUAAUCCCGAACAAGGAUGGAAGGAUCAGACGUGUUGCAGUACAAACGACAUCUGGACGACUCGAGAGACCGGUGGCGAAGCUGGCCGUUAUGGAGAUAGGUAACGGUGAAUCCGAGCAAGGUGAUACGGAGGCCGUUCCGGAUUCACGGGGUGGAGAAUGUUCUGGCAUCCCUGACGUCGCUGCAUCUGAACAGACCUAACGGCCACGCUACGAACUGUCAAACCAGAAAACGGUUAGAAGUGAAAAUUUGCGACGAACCAAGAAAGACAAGUGACGCUCUGCGUAUAUUUUAUAAAUUAACGAUAGUUUUAGUUGUUAAAGUUGUUUGUGCCAUUCGUGAGUACCUUUUUAAAUUGUUGUGAACCUUUGACUAAAUCUAACUUUUUGUAAUAUUUAGCGCACAUCGGUAAAAACCCGAUCUAAGGCUGAUACCACGCACAGUCGAGCAUUCCUUUCAAAAGGGCCGAUAUAGGUUAGAUUUUCUUUUAUUGGUAUCAGAAUUAUUUGUAAUAAUGCGCAUUUUCUCGAACUCUAGGCCAGAAAUCUAUGCUCUCGAUUAUAACUUGGCAUCAAAACACGGAAACUCCUCUUGUACUAAAGGAGACAAAUCUUUGAGCUGCUCCUGCUCCUGCUCCAACUAGAGCUGCUGCGAGAACCUUUAGUGAAUUAUAUUCCAACAGAAGUUUGAAGGAGAAAAUCAUUGUUCGGUUGUAUGAUUAUGAUAUUCAGGCAAUCUGGGCCUUUGCAACACUACCUACCAGAGGUGCAAAGAGAUCCCUACAUGUAGCAUGCAGCGCACGACUUUUAGCCGAUUCUAACAGACCGACGUCAGCCACGAAAGAAUCGUCUUGCAAAGUUGCAGACUGAUUCUUUCUCCCUUAUGUGCAGAACGUCGAACGUGUCUGCAAGUAAAAGCCAACCGCGCGGUAAAAUCCUUUGACUGCACGUUCCGAAAAUUACAAACGAUUCUCCGAAGUUAGGAACAGUUGCAAACUUGCAAGCCCGAAGAUAAAAUCCCUUGAGCCGAACAGAAAGAAUCAUUUCCGAAGAUAGCUACAGUCUGCAAGUUGCUUGCAUGCAGCGCGAUGAUGCGAUGUACGUUUGCAAACUUGCAAGUUACAGUUCUUGUGCGGUUCGAUUUGAUCCACCCCAACCCAACCUAAAACCGAACCGAAUCCAUGGCAUGGUGUAAGAAAAUGAUAGGCCGAGGUGCCGUCGACUAUCCAUUCAGUUGCCGUUCAGCCAGCGAAGCGGCAUGCCGUACGACAAGAGCAAGGACAUGUUGAAGUUGUUGUUGUUGGUGCCUUCGUGUUCGUUUCGUUUUCUUCUAAGACGGAUUCGAAAGGAAGUGGUGCCCAAAUUUUAUUUGAAUUUUCAAUUAUCAUACCAGGGUGAUUGAUAUAAAUCAUCAAAGCAAAUACAAGCAAAUUUGUUUUGAUUAUAACUUUGUCAUUUUACAAGUUAUUUAUAAACACAAAGUUGUUAAUUAAAACUGAUCCAAACUCUGUUGGAAAAUCAUCUAUAUUGUUUUAUAACAGAGCUGCCUUAAAAUUCUUUAAAGUUUCGUUCCGAAAAAUUCAAUCGAUUCUCCAAAGGCAGGAUCACUUGAUUAGUAGGAUCACAGAUUAAAUUGUGUGAAUUUCAAUUUUAGAAUUCAGUUUCAUUUGCUUAGACAUGUAUAAGAAUCACGUCAUCUUUACCAAGUUAUCUACAGUUUUUACAGAAAGUUUUUACAGAUCGGUACAAAACUCAAUAGAAAUUCAGUGCUUGCUCGUCGUCAUUCCAACCUUGAACUCAAAAACUUCACACACUGUUUGAUUCGAAUCUUCUGUCAAAGUUUUAUAACUUGUUUUUAAUUAAUUUCGCGUUCUGAACUAGAAUUUUUGGUCAGAUUUUGUCUAUCGCAUCCAGUAUUACUGAUAAGGCUUUUAAAAAUCAGUGCUAUGAUAAAUCAAUUACUGUCUAUAUAUUAUUUUUUACUUCUUUGCUGAAGACUGUAAAGCGUUUUAAGUUAUACUUUGAAAAAUAUCUAUAAUUCAUUUUGGUAUAAAAUUUCAUCAGAAUUUCGUCUCAACAGAAGGAAGAAAAAAUUUCUUUUACUUCAAAGCCAAAAUUACUUGCAGUCUUCGUAGAAACUUAAAUUUUAAAAAUCUUACUCAACGGUUGCUAUUUAUCUCAGAUAUUACGAAACUGCUUAUAAAAAGCUGGACGUUUCACGGUUAAACAUAUCCCGCUUUCGCCCAUCAAUCAGUCAAUUGCAUAAUCUUCAAAAUAAGAAGUAUGGAAACUGAAUAAAUUAUUGAUUUAUGUUUCAAAGUCAGCAACUUAUGUACUUUUUAUCAAAAUAAAUUGACUAAAGGAUUAACAUGAAUGAACAUUUUCAUACAAAUCGGAAUUUUUUAUUCAAGUUUUUAAAGCUGUUUGCGUAUCUUUCGUAACGAACUUUUGAAAUCUGCCACUUUUAAGUUUAACUUCGCGAGAACUACUAUGAAGAAUUUUUGCAAAAGGCUUUGAUAAGUAUCUCAAAUAUCAAAAUUUAAAUAAAACAAGUCCAAAAAAGUAGAUUUUCAAACAACUGCUGAAUCACAUAUUUGAAAAACGCUGAAUCACAUUAAAAAAAACGCUUUGAUACGAAAUAUGAAUUAAUGGCAUGAAAUCAAAUAACAUCGCGUUUAAAGGUUGAAGUGACAGUGAGCACUUAGCUUAUUUAAUAGAACUAUGAACGGUAAUGUGUAUCAACUCCAUUUCAUUUUACAACGGUGACCAAAAAAGGCACUCAGCUCGAUCAUUUUAUGUUAACCUGAUUUUCUUUGAUUUUUCUUUUCAAGCUCCUUGAAUUUGUGCAUGUUGGCAACCCUGCUCUCAAUACUGAAUCUUUAAUAUGUGAUUCUAUUUUAUCAAGUGAUCCUAUCCAUGGAGAAUGGAUUGAAUUUUUCGGGCCGCAGCUGUGUUAUAAAACAAUAAAGAUGAUUUUCCAACAUUUUUCGGAUAAGCUUUUAUUAACACUUUUGUAUUCAUAAAUAACUUGUAAGAUGACAAAGUUAUAAUCAAAACAAACUAGUUUUUAUUUGCUUUGAUGAUUUAUCUUAAACACCCUAGAAUGAUCAUUGAAAACUCAAAUAAAAUUUGGGCACCACUUCCUUUCGAAUCCGUCUUAGAAGGAAACGAAACGAGCACGAAGGCACCAACAACAACAACAACUCCAACAUGUCCUUACUUCUGUAGUACGGCGGCGCACCGAGUGUUUUGCAGACAGCCAUGUACAUACGCUACACACGCACGCUUCGAUGGCUGAACGGCAACUGAAUUGAUGGUCGGUGGCUGUGGCUCUUCGGCCUAUCACUUUCUUUCUCCAUGGAUUCGGUUCGGUCGGUCCUAGGUUAGUGGAACGAAUCCAACCGCACAAGAACGAGUCCACCGUCCUGUAACUUGUAAGUUGCAACUUGCAAAUUUGCAAACGUACAUCGCAUCAUCGCGCUGCAUGCAAGCAACUUGCAGACUGUAGCUAUCUUCGGAAAUGAUUCUUUCUGUUCGGCUCAAGGGAUUUUAUCUUCGGGCUUGCAAGUUUGAAAUUUUCGUAACGUGCAGUCAUCGCGACUUUUACUUGCAGACACGUUCGACGCUCUGCACGUAAGGGAAAUAGAAUCAGUCUGCAACUUUGCAAGAUGAUUUUUUCGGAGCUGACGUCGGGCUGUUAGAAUCGGCACUGCAUGUUUCAUGAUGGGAUCUCUUUGCACCUCUGCUACCUACAAAUUAAACGUGUUUGAUAAACUCUGUCUUUCA